rnacentral:rRNA from 1 species
GUGGGGAAUAUUGGACAAUGGGCGAAAGCCUGAUCCAGCCAUGCCGCGUGUGUGAAGAAGGUCUUCGGAUUGUAAAGCACUUUAAGUUGGGAGGAAGGGUAGUAACCUAAUACGUUGCUACUUUGACGUUACCGACAGAAUAAGCACCGGCUAACUUCGUGCCAGCAGCCGCGGUAAUACGAAGGGUGCAAGCGUUAAUCGGAAUUACUGGGCGUAAAGCGCGCGUAGGUGGUUCAGUAAGUUGGAAGUGAAAUCCCCGGGCUCAACCUGGGAACUGCUUUCAAAACUGCUGAGCUAGAGUACGGUAGAGGGUGGUGGAAUUGCCUGUGUAGCGGUGAAAUGCGUAGAUAUAGGAAGGAACACCAGUGGCGAAGGCGACCACCUGGACUGAUACUGACACUGAGGUGCGAAAGCGUGGGGAGCAAACAGGAUUAGAAACCCCGGUAGUCC